AGUGAACGCUGGCGGUAGGCCUAACACAUGCAAGUCGAACGGCAGCACAGUAAGAGCUUGCUCUUACGGGUGGCGAGUGGCGGACGGGUGAGGAAUACAUCGGAAUCUACUUUUUCGUGGGGGAUAACGUAGGGAAACUUACGCUAGUACCGCAUACGACCUACGGGUGAAAGCAGGGGAUCUUCGGACCUUGCGCGAUUGAAUGAGCCGAUGUCGGAUUAGCUAGUUGGCGGGGUAAAGGCCCACCAAGGCGACGAUCCGUAGCUGGUCUGAGAGGAUGAUCAGCCACACUGGAACUGAGACACGGUCCAGACUCCUACGGGAGGCAGCAGUGGGGAAUAUUGGACAAUGGGCGCAAGCCUGAUCCAGCCAUACCGCGUGGGUGAAGAAGGCCUUCGGGUUGUAAAGCCCUUUUGUUGGGAAAGAAAAGCAGCAGGUUAAUACCCCGCUGUUCUGACGGAACCCAAAGAAUAAGCACCGGCUAACUUCGUG
rnacentral:rRNA from 1 species